UGGGGAAUAUUGCGCAAUGGGCGAAAGCCUGACGCAGCGACGCCGCGUGGGUGAUGAAGGCCUUCGGGUCGUAAAGCCCUGUCGGGAGGGAAGAAACAGUCUGGACCUAAUACGUCCGGGAAUUGACGGUACCUCCUAAGGAAGCACCGGCUAACUCCGUGCCAGCAGCCGCGGUAAUACGGAGGGUGGCAAGCGUUGUUCGGAUUUACUGGGCGUACAGGGAGCGUAGGUGGUUAGGUAAGCCCUCCGUGAAAACUCCAGGCUUAACCUGGACAGUGCAGAGGGUACUGCUUAGCUAGAGGACGGGAGAGGAGCGCGGAAUUCCCGGUGUAGCGGUGAAAUGCGUAGAGAUCGGGAGGAAGGCCGGUGGCGAAGGCGGCGCUCUGGAACGUUUCUGACACUGAGGCUCGAAAGCGUGGGGAGCAAACAGGAUUAGAUACCCACGUAGUCCCUGAGCGGGCUGGCAAGGCGCAU
rnacentral:rRNA from 1 species